GAUGAACGCUGGCGGCGUGCCUAAUACAUGCAAGUCGAGCGAACGGACGAGAAGCUUGCUUUUCUGAUGUUAGCGGCGGACGGGUGAGUAACACGUGGAUAACCUACCUAUAAGACUGGGAUAACUUCGGGAAACCGGAGCUAAUACCGGAUAAUAUUUUGAACCGCAUGGUUCAAAAGUGAAAGACGGUCUUGCUGUCACUUAUAGAUGGAUCCGCGCUGCAUUAGCUAGUUGGUAAGGUAACGGCUUACCAAGGCAACGAUGCAUAGCCGACCUGAGAGGGGGUAGCGCCACGGUGAAACUGACCACCGGACCGGACACCGAGGGGAGGCAGAAGGAGGUAAUUUUCGCAAAAGGGGGAAAGCCUGAAGAAGGGACGCCGGGGGAGUGAAAAAAGUCCUCGGACCGGAAAACUCUUUUAUGGGGGAAAAACAUUUUUGUAAGUAACUGGGCACAUCUUGAGGGUACCUAAAAAGAAACCCACGGUAAACACGGU
rnacentral:rRNA from 1 species